rnacentral:tRNA from 1 species
CGCGGGAUGGAGCAGCCCGGUAGCUCGUCAGGCUCAUGACCUGAAGGUCGUAGGUUCAAAUCCUACUCCCGCAACCA